rnacentral:rRNA from 1 species
UACGUAGGGGGCAAGCGUUGUCCGGAUUUAUUGGGCGUAAAGAGCGUGUAGGCGGCCAGGUAGGUCUGCUGUGAAAACUCGAGGCUCAACCUCGAGACGUCGGCGGAAACCAUCUGGCUAGAGUCCGGAAGAGGAGAGUGGAAUUCCUGGUGUAGCGGUGAAAUGCGCAGAUAUCAGGAAGAACACCCGUGGCUAAGGCGGUUCUCUAGUACGGUACUGACGCUGAGACGCGAAAGCGUGGGGAGCGAACAGG